rnacentral:rRNA from 1 species
CGUAACAAGGUUUCCGUAGGUGAACCAGCGGAGGGAUCAUUACUGAGUUUACGCUCUACAACCCUUUGUGAACAUACCUAUAACUGUUGCUUCGGCGGGUAGGGUCUCCGCGACCCUCCCGGCCUCCCGCCCCCGGGCGGGUCGGCGCCCGCCGGAGGAUAACCAAACUCUGAUUUAACGACGUUUCUUCUGAGUGGUACAAGCAAAUAAUCAAAACUUUUAACAACGGAUCUCUUGGUUCUGGCAUCGAUGAAGAACGCAGCGAAAUGCGAUAAGUAAUGUGAAUUGCAGAAUUCAGUGAAUCAUCGAAUCUUUGAACGCACAUUGCGCCCGCCAGCAUUCUGGCGGGCAUGCCUGUUCGAGCGUCAUUUCAACCCUCAAGCUCUGCUUGGUGUUGGGGCCCUACAGCUGAUGUAGGCCCUCAAAGGUAGUGGCGGACCCUCCCGGAGCCUCCUUUGCGUAGUAACUUUACGUCUCGCACUGGGAUCCGGAGGGACUCUUGCCGUAAAACCCCCCAAUUUUCCAAAGGUUGACCUCGGAUCAGGUAGGAAUACCCGCUGAACUUAAGCAUAUCAAUAAGCGGAGGA